UCUGCUUCUGCUCAUCAUUGGACUCGUUUCAUGUAUAGUUACUCUCUGCAAGAAUAAGCGUCAGGCUCGAGAUAAAGACCCUGAUUCAGCCUCUAACAUAUCUGAACCUGGAACCGAAAACAGUGAAGCGGUUCCUCAAAUGCCUUACAUUUAUGAGGAGAUUAAAGACACCAGACUUCACACUGACUGCAAAACUUCCCAAUUACCCACAGACCCCUCUGGUUCUAUUACCACAGUUUAUGCUACUCCACAAUUACCCACAGACCCCUCUGGUUCUAUUACCACAGUUUAUGCUACUCCACAAUUACCCACAGACCCCUCUGGUUCUAUUACCACAGUUUAUUCUACUCCACAAUUACCCACAGACCCCUCUGGUUCUAUUACCACAGUUUAUGCUACUCCACAAUUACCCACAGACCCCUCUGGUUCUAUUACCACAGUUUAUGCUACUCCACAAUCACCCACAAAUCCCUCUGGUGAGUGGGAUAAACAGUGUAAGAAUCAGUUACCUACAAAUCCAACUGAUUCUUGCACUCUUUAUGCUACUCCAGGAUUACCCAUAAAUCCCUCUGAUUCUACUAAAACAGUCUCUGCGUCUCCACAAUUACCC